UUGACCUGUCUCAAUCUUAUGCCAAUGCCACAGUCUUAAUUAUUGUAGCUUUAUAAUAGGCCUUGAUAUCAGGUAGGGUGAGUCUACAACAUUGCUUUUCUUUUUCAAAGUACUGUGCUCUAUUCUAGGUUAUUUGCAAUCCAUAUAAAUUUCUGAAUCAGCUUGUCGAUUUCUACCAAAAAUUGUUUGCCAGGUUUUGUAUGUGUGCAUAUUGCAUCCAACAUACAGGUUUAGGCAGAAUAAAAUUUGUGAAUGGUAUGCAGUAAACUUGUUUUUUAUUUGUUUUACUCAUAUGGAUAACUGAGCCAGAAGCAUUAUUGAAAAGAAAUCUCUGCAGCUGGCCAUCACCUUGAUAGACUUUUAAAAUGGAGCACAAUGAACCAUCCUUUGUGACUCCUUUCAGUAUCUUAUGUUGGGAAAAAACUGUCCCCAAAAUACAUGAUUCAGAGUUGUGAAGGUUACUCUUCCUGUCUAAAAGAAGAAAAGAUACAAUUUAAGAGUCAUCACAAGAGUCAGUUAACAGACAGUGAGGAAGUGGAACAAACAGAUGAUCCAACAUAGUAGAUGAACUCACAAUACAGGGAUGGAAACAGGCCAUCUCAGAAGACAGUACAGCAUAUAGAGUUAUCAGGUGAAUAGAUAGACAAGAAUGUUUAACAGAAAUAGUCACGUAAAAACUAAACUUAGAUGAAACAAUGUCUGGGUUCUCAUCACUCUAAUUUUGGAUUCUAGAAUCUUUCACUUCUGCUUUCUGAAUUAAAAAACCCUUUUUACUGUUUAA